rnacentral:rRNA from 1 species
GUGCUUGGGCGAGAGUAGUACUAGGAUGGGUGAGUCCUCGUGUUGCACCCCUUUUUUU